ensembl:lncRNA
UCUUGAUCAUAUUUAGGAAUUUUUGCUUUAUCUCUUUAGCUAUUGUUUCUCCUUUUGCUCUUUUUCUGAGUAGUGUCAGAGCUGCCCUUGGGCUGCAGUUAAUUUAGCCCCAUCAGGGGUGACACCCUUUGGAGGAGUCCCCCAGCACCCUGUGGAUUAGGAGGCCUUUCUCCCGUGGCUUGUGGAAACACCAAGUAGUCUCAUCCCGGUGUGAGCCCUGGGGGUUGUUGCAUCCACUCCUUUCCAGGGAGUCUUGCCGUGGCCUCUGGGCAUAGUUUGUCUCCCACGGGUGCAGGUUUGUCCUCUGCCGAAGACUCAAGGGGACCCUCCUCAUAUCCUGGAGCACCGUUCAACAUGCAGCCUUCCCUCCCACCACUCGCCCCGCACAGUCUUGCUGCCUCCUUGACCUCUCAACUCUGUCUCUUCCACUGAGGGAGACGCCUGGCUGUGUCUCCGCUUCCCUCCCUGCACCAGGGCCCGGAAACCACGAUGGCUGUGGCUGGUGCGGUCGCAGGGCUCAGGCUGGUGGUUUCCCUUCUCGCUGGGAUCACCGUUGUCUAGUGACUGGAAACCGUCACAUCGUCUCUUGUCCAGUUUUCCUGUUGUUCAAGGGCCCCUGUUAGUCUGUGUUGAAUGAGCUUAUCACCAAACAAAUGAAACAGCCUGUCAGAAGCUUAAUGAGGUUCAGAACAGGUGGGGCCUUCCGGCUAAGCCGACUGUUGGUUAACACUCCCUUGUUUCCUCUGUUAACCAGUCACACUGCGAAUGGGAACCGGAAAGAUGGUGCAGAUUGGAAGACAGCGAUGUGGCAGCCCGGGGUCGGCCCCACAUCGAGCUCACGUUUACCGGCCUCUCUGCUUGUGUCCUUGCUGGGCUGACGCGCCUGCGAGGAUCAACGCCUCCUGACAGGAGCUUGAGCAAAGAAGGGAGCUGAACACCCAUGUACUCGCACCUGCAGGGUCCCCACCCUGCGUCUGUGGCCUACCAUGACUCCAGCCGUGUGCGGGCGACGGGGAGCCGGACCGGACAGGCCACCUACCUCCGGGCACUCUCGCCUUGGCCUGGACUCCUCCCUGGUCUCUUGGGGCCACCUCUACUUCUGCCUGAGGUGCUGGCCACAGCUGCAGCUGGGUGGAGAUGGCCGGCGGGGCUGUACUGCCCUGGUACGCUUGCCCUGGGAGGCGGGGCACUGAUCCUGACCGCCAGCUGCGCUUCCUUGUGGGCAGCAAGAGGGGGAGUCUGGAAGGCCAGCCUUGCAAGGUAGCGAAAAUAGACUGCUUCUGGCCAUCGAGUAGUUCACAGCUGACCAGUGCCUGCUAAGGACUCAGGAACUGGCUAUAAUUCUGAGAGGAGCUGCUUCAGGAGCUGAAGAGCUUCCUUGGCAGCCACGACUCAGAGGAGUUCGGGGAGGUGAGCCUACUUCUUGCACUGGACUUUCUCCUUGGGGCUGGGCAGGGGGAGCUGCUGGGAGAAGCCCCGAGAGCCCCGUAUACUCUCAUGUGGCUGGAGAGACUGACCUGGGGCUCUGGGCCUGCUAAGGCAGCAGAGCCCCGAGAGGAAGGAGGCCAGAGACGCGAGGUUGAUGCUCAGCAGUGGUUCCCUAUUGAGGCAUAACUCAAGCAAGGGAAGCAGAAAGUGGCUGGAAAGCAGAGCAGGAUUGUUGGCAGUUUCGUGGUAUUAGGGCAGAGUUCAGAGCCUCUCAAGGAGAAACGACAUGAGAAACACCAGGCUCUUGGCUGGGACCCUUUUGGGGGGCACCCUGGGUGUGGGGGAAAUCCACAAGUCAAUGGGACUUUAUAAGGACCGUGGAUGAGCUAAGCAUCACUUGCUUGAUUCCUUGACUGUCCUGGCUGACCCUCUGUCGUUCUGUCAUACACCGUGCCUGAUGCCGAGAGAGUUCGAGUCUGGUUACCACGCACACUGAAAAACAGUACCAGUGGGCGGGUGACAGACCCCCCAGAGAUUAAGAUACUGGAGUUAUCAGACACAGACCUUAACUGAUUAACAUAUUAAAGAAAAUAGAUAAGAUGCAGAGUAUCACAGAAUGAGAAUUCAUAAAAAAUUAAAUCAAAAAUCAAAAACGGGAAAGUAUGAUAAUGAGAAUUUAAAAUUCAGUAAGCGGAUUUAACGGCAGAUUAGAGACGGCUGAAGAAACCAGUAGUGAGGGGCGCCUGGGUGGCGCAGUCGGUUAAGCGUCCGACUUCAGCCAGGUCACGAUCUCGCGGUCUGUGAGUUCGAGCCCCGCGUCGGGCUCUGGGCUGAUGGCUCAGAGCCUGGAGCCUGUUUCCGAUUCUGUGUCUCCCUCUCUCUCUGCCCCUCCCCCGUUCAUGCUCUGUCUCUCUCUGUCCCAAAAAUAAAUAAACGUUGAAAAAAAAAAAAAAAAAAAAAAAAAAAACCAGUAGUGAGCUGGAAGAUAGAUCAGUAGAAAAUACCCGUGCAGACAUCCCCGCGGCCAGCUCACAUAGUCCGGUGAGCUUCCUUCCUGGUUCCGUUCCUCAGGGCCCUGUUGGUCUCUUCUGUAGACCCCUAGCCUUGAGCGAGGUGAGCGGUCCUGCCGAAGAAGGUUCUUGGUGCUUGGAGAAAUUGAGGGGUCUUUGGAAUUUGGGGAACAUACUUCCAUGCAGCUUUGUUGGAAAUACUGCUAGCAUGUUGAGUCUAAUCAGUAGAGCUGUGAGGCUAGUGAAAUCUUUAGGGGCCUCAGAUUCAUCAUCAAGAACAGGAGCGUGUAUUUAUGGGCUUGGGCUAAAGGUAUGCUAAUGUCUCCAACAUGCGCCUUAGAAACUGCCUUUUAGUAAAGUCAUCUAUUUGUUUGCUUCUCUCCUGAAUGUGGCGUGCAGAAAAUCAUUGAGGACUGGGGGCACUGGGGAAACUGAGGCUUGUCUGAUCUCCCAGGGGGGGCACACGUACACUGUUAAGGCCUCACGUCAUGGAACUUGGGUGCCGCCUGUUCUGGUCAUGUGAUGGGCAUGUCGUGGGCACGGCCACGGGUGAGGACGCAGGGACCGGGCCACAGCUGAGCGUGACUGAUGCUGUUUUGAAUUGUGGCAGUUUAGAUGGAUGUUGUUCUGAGUUUUCCACCCUGGGUUAAUGGCUUCUUUGUAAUGAACAAAUAAAUUCAGGACGGAUGGUGAGGUAAGACAGGGUCAUGGGCCAAGGCCAGCGUGCUGAGCUGAGACCUGCUGCUGACCUACACAGGUUGUUUGACAUGGAUUAAAGCAGUGUCAUGGCAAAGACACCAGCCCUUUAUCUGAAGGUAGGGGUGGAAGCCCCUUCAAAAACGCUCACUUUGUGGGGCAGUGAGCAUGUGUUCCAAGGGGAGAAGAGUAGACGUUGAGUCUAG